rnacentral:tRNA from 1 species
GCCACGAUAGCUCAGUCGGUUAGAGCGCAUCGCUGAUAACGAUGAGGUCGCAAGUUCGAUUCUUGCUAGGCCCACCA